CAUUAAAGAGUUGCAAAACUCCCACAAACCAUCGCGAACGUUACCCAGACGUCGUUGCUUCGGCGGGCUCGCCCGCCGGGGGGACGCUACCAGACUCUUGCAGUUAUACGGCCUCUCUGAGUAUGAUUUUUCAAUAAGUCAAAACUUUCAACAACGGAUCUCUUGGUUCUGGCAUCGAUGAAGAACGCAGCGAAAUGCGAUAAGUAAUGUGAAUUGCAGAAUUCAGUGAAUCAUCGAAUCUUUGAACGCACAUUGCGCCCGCCAGUAUUCUGGCGGGCAUGCCUGUUCGAGCGUCAUUUCAACCUUCAAGCCCUGCUUGUGUUGGGGUCCUGCGGCUGCCCGCAGGCCCUGAAAACCAGUGGCGGGCUCGCUAGUCACACCGAGCGCAGUAGCACAUCUCGCUCAGGGCGUGCGGCGGGUUCUUGCCGUUAAACACCCCCCUUUCCACAGGUGAC
rnacentral:rRNA from 1 species